rnacentral:tRNA from 1 species
GAGGGUGGAGCUCAGGGGUAGAGUGUGUGCUUAGCAUGCACGAGGUCCUGGGUUCAAUCCCCAGUACCCCCA